CCUGCCCCUCACUUCGGGAUAACCUCGGGAAAUCGUGGCUAAUACCGGAUAUGAACUUCUACCGCAUGGUGGUUGUUGGAAAGAUUUAUCGGUGAGGGAUGGACUCGCGGCCUAUCAGUUUGUUGGUGAGGUAAUGGCUCACCAAGACGAUGACGGGUAGCCGGCCUGAGAGGGCGACCGGCCACACUGGGACUGAGACACGGCCCAGACUCCUACGGGAGGCAGCAGUGGGGAAUAUUGCACAAUGGGCGAAAGCCUGAUGCAGCGACGCCGCGUGGGGGAUGACGGCCUUCGGGUUGUAAACCUCUUUCAGUAGGGAAGAAGCGAAAGUGACGGUACCUGCAGAAGAAGCGCCGGCUAACUACGUGCCAGCAGCCGCGGUAAUACGUAGGGCGCAAGCGUUGUCCGGAAUUAUUGGGCGUAAAGAGCUCGUAGGUGGCUUGUCGCGUCUGCCGUGAAAACCCGAGGCUCAACCUCGGGCGUGCGGUGGGUACGGGCAGGCUAGAGUGUGGUAGGGGAGACUGGAACUCCUGGUGUAGCGGUGAAAUGCGCAGAUAUCAGGAAGAACACCGAUGGCGAAGGCAGGUCUCUGGGCCAUUACUGACACUGAGGAGCGAAAGCAUGGGUAGCGAACAGGAUUAGAUACCCUGGUAGUCCAUGCCGUAAACGUUGGGCACUAGAUGUGGGGGGACAUUCCACGUUUUCCGCGUCGUAGCUAACGCAUUAAGUGCCCCGCCUGGGGAGUACGGCCGCAAGGCUAAAACUCAAAGGAAUUGACGGGGGGCCCGCACAAGCGGCGGAGCAUGCUGAUUAAUUCGAUGCAACGCGAAGAACCUUACCAAGGCUUGACAUGCACCGGGCGACUGCAGAGAUGUGGUUUUCUUCGGACUGGUGCACAGGUGGUGCAUGGUUGUCGUCAGCUCGUGUCGUGAGAUGUUGGGUUAAGUCCCGCAACGAGCGCAACCCUCGUUCUAUGUUGCCAGCACGUCAUGGUGGGGACUCAUAGGAGACUGCCGGGGUCAACUCGGAGGAAGGUGGGGACGACGUCAAAUCAUCAUGCCCCUUAUGUCUUGGGCUUCAAGCAUGCUACAAUGGUCGGUACAAUGGGUUGCGAAACUGUGAGGUGGAGCGAAUCCCAAAAAGCCGGCCUCAGUUCGGAUUGGGGUCUGCAACUCGACCCCAUGAAGUCGGAGUCGCUAGUAAUCGCAGAUCAGCAACGCUGCGGUGAAUACGUUCCCGGGCCUUGUAC
rnacentral:rRNA from 1 species